UGGGUGUUGAGAAUCUUAGGUAUACCAUCACUACCAUGCACCUCCACACUCGUGAUCGCAACAUUCAAAACUUUUUCUUUACCCCUUCUUCUCCAAAUUUUGAGAACCCUAAAACGAGGAACCACUACCAAAGCCGCCACCCACCCACUGCUGACUCAUCAGUCGCCACCUAUCGCCGCCGCAAAAUAGCAACAACAUUGCUACCUGCCGCAGCCACAAAUAACAGAAACACUAACCGUCGUUACAGGGCCGUUUUGAAGGAAGUUUUGUCGCGUAGCAGUGCCGUCGUGAAUAGAUUCGCCGCCAGCGCCAAUUCCACCUACAGCGUUUCAUCAAUCCUCUCUUCGAUAGUUUCGCAACGAACUAAUCUUGCAGGCAGCUGAAACCUGGUAGUUGAGGCAUUAAUGCAUCAAUUUUUGAUGCUGCAGGUCCAGAACUGGAAUCUGCAACAAAAGAAAAAGUAAAAACUCGUUCUCCUAGGAAUGCUGUUGUUGUCCCUCUACCUUCAUCUUCUCCAUUGUUCACAAGAGAAGGUGUUACCCAUGUAAUACAUGGACUUGGAUCUAAUAUGAAUCCACAAAGACCAAAUUGUCUGAACAAUGAUUAUGAAAAUGGUUGCGAAAUUCCCGAAGAUGCUUAUGUAUCAAGAUUUGAAGGUUUUGCAUCAAUUGUUAAGAACGAGGUACAACAAAAUGAAAACCUUGGAAAAAAGUCAUUGGAGUUGCAAGAUCAAUCUGAACGGUGUUCCAGAAAUCAUUUCACAAAUACUAAUCAAAAGAGUAAGAGAGAUAUUGACCAUGGAUUGGGAAAAAAACAAGAAAUAAAAGAGAACUUAAUAUGGUUUUACGAGUUCUACUAAUGAAAAGGUAGAUUCAGAGCAUAGAAGCACCGAUGGGUACCCAAAGAAGGCAUGGGGAUCAUGGGCUCAAGCUCUUCACCAAAUAGCUAUGCAUCCUCCUUGAAAUUUCAAAAGACAUUGUUGUAUUGAAUGAUAUGUAGCCUAAGGCACACAAAGAUGUUCUGGUUUUGGCAUGGACUAGAGGUUUUGAUUGUCUGUCGGAUGUCCAAAAUGAGCACCCUUUGGUAUUGAAGAAGAUGCGUGCAGUGGGUUUAACAUGGGUUGAGAAAUUCUUGGAUGAGAACACAUCAACGCUAUUUUGCCUUAUAUCACUUGCUUUUGGGUCGGUGGAGACGGCGGUGGAGAUGAGCACCAUGGUGAAGGUGGUCACAAUUUCUAUGAUUAAUGCUUGAAUGUUAGAUCCAGAAGGUGAUGUUGCACCAAGUUGCUUUGAUGGCUCUAGCAAAACUUUCAAUGUAUAUGAAGCUGAAAUUGCUCCUGUGAGUUGAGCUGCAAUGUAAAAUGGUACCUGCAAAAAAAUAUUAUGGGAUUGUUAUAGUAGAAAAGGGUCCAAUCCUAUAACAAGCCCAAAAAUGGAGAGUUUCUCCUUCUCAUAUGUUUUCAAAAAUCCAAAUAUUCAUAUUCUUUCUAUUUAUUUAUUUAUUUAUUUUAACCUUA